GAUGAACGCUGGCGGCGUGCCUAAUACAUGCAAGUCGAACGAAGAUCUAGCUUGCUAGUUCUUAGUGGCGAACGGGUGAGUAAUACAUAAAUAAUCUGCCCAUAUGACUGGGAUAACUAUUGGAAACGAUAGCUAAUACCGGAUAGGUUGAUUGGAGGCAUCUCUGAUUAAUUAAAGUAGGAUUUCUACACAAAUGGAUGAGUUUAUGGCGCAUUAGUUAGUUGGCGGGGUAACGGCCUACCAAGACGAUGAUGCGUAGCCGACCUGAGAGGGUGACCGGCCACACUGGGACUGAGACACGGCCCAGACUCCUACGGGAGGCAGCAGUAGGGAAUUUUCGGCAAUGGGCGCAAGCCUGACCGAGCAACGCCGCGUGAGCGAUCAAGGCCUUCGGGUUGUAAAGCUCUGUUGUAAGGGAAGAACAUUCAGGAUAGGAAAUGAUCUUGAACUGACGGUACCUUACCAGAAAGCCACGGCUAACUACGUGCCAGCAGCCGCGGUAAAAC
rnacentral:rRNA from 1 species